rnacentral:lncRNA from 1 species
GGAAGGGCUCGUGUAGCUGCAGCAGGAUUUGAAAAAGGAAUUGAUCGUGACUUUGAACCUGUUCUUUCCAUGACCCCUCUUAAUUGAGAUGAGACAGGAGAUCCAAUGCUUGAAUGAAAUAAAAAUCACUUUGAGUACCCGUGACCCCUCUUAAUUGAGAUGAGACAGGAGAUCCAAUGCUUGAAUGAAGAAAAAUCACUUUGAUUCAAUCAUACAUCUUGGAAUCAGCCUAAGUAUUCCUUUUUUAUUUAUUUUUUUUCAAUUCAUUUUAUCUAAUUUAUUUUUCUGGCUUGGCUAGGUGGGAUAGAUGAGCCAUU